GGUGAAAUCCUGCAGCUUAACUGUAGAACUGCCAUUGAUACUGAUUUUCUUGAGUACGGUUGAGGUAGGCGGAAUGUGUAAUGUAGCGGUGAAAUGCUUAGAUAUUACACAGAACACCGAUUGCGUAGGCAGCUUACUAAACCGGCACUGACGCUGAGGCACGAAAGCGUGGGGAGCGAACAGGAUUAGAUACCCUGUGUAGUCCACGCUGUAAACGAUGAUCACUAGCUGUUGGCAAUACAUCGAUCAGCGGCAAAGCGAAAGCAUUAAGUGAUCCACCUGGGGAGUACGCUCGCAAGAGUGACACUCAAAGGAAUUGACGGGGGCCCGCACAAGCGGUGGAACAUGUGGUUUAAUUCGAUGAUACGCGAGGAACCUUACCUGGGCUUAAAUGUAUGUUGAUUUUCCGGGAAACCGGAUUUCCCUUCGGGGCGAUAUGCAAGGUGCUGCAUGGUUGUCGUCAGCUCGUGCCGUGAGGUGUCGGGUUAAGUCCCAUAACGAGCGCAACCCUUAUCGUUAGUGGCCAGCGGGUAAUGCCGGGGACUCUAGCGAAACUGCCGGUGUAAACCGAGAGGAAGGUGGGGAUGACGUCAAAUUAGCACGGCCCUUAUGUCCAGGGCUACACACGUGUUACAAUGGUCGGUACAGAGGGCAGCUACCUGGUAACAGGAUGCGAAUCUCGAAAGCCGGUCUUAGUUCGGAUCGAAGUCUGCAAC
rnacentral:rRNA from 1 species